AAAGGAAAUAAAAUUUUAAAAUAAAAGAUUCAGUUUAAUUAGUUCUUCUCGUUAUUCUAAUAGCAUGUCACACUCCAAUAAUUUCACAUCAGAUAUGAAUGGGAAUGUGAUUGGGUAUAUAAGAGACUUAGACAUUAGUAAUAAUAACUGGGCUUAAGCAUUUUGAGCCGGUGGUUUGGACCCAACGAGUUAUUGCUGCUAGUGGGCUGGGUCGUUACAUUUGGUAUCAGAACCAGUUUACCAGCCAAAAAUGUGUGGCGAAUCUCGGCUGAGGUAGGGUCUGAAAGACAAGGUGAUAGGCUAUGCCGGAGUCUGAAUGACAAGGUAACCGGCUAUGCAAGAGUCUCGAUGACAAGGCUAGCGAGACGAGUCUCACAUCGCCUGGUGAUCUUGGGUUCUGUGUGUGAUUGAACUGACGAGGACGUCAGGGUCUUAACGCGGGGAGUCUGUUACACUCCAAUAAUUCUACACUGGAUAUGAAUGGGAAUGUGAUUCGGUAUAUAAAAGACUUAGAUACUAACAAUAAUAACUGGGCUUAAGCAUUUUCAGCCGGUGGUUUGGGCCCAACGAGUUAUUAUUGCUAGUGGGCUGGGUCAUUACAUAGCAUUAUUUAGAUAGUAUUUUAUUAACAACAAAGCCAAAUAAGUAGUUAAAGAAGAAAGAAAAAUAAGCUGGAUCACCUUAAGGGUGCGUUUGGUUCGAGUUAUCCUGGCAGGAUUACAGGCAAUCCUACCAGGAUAACUGUGUUUGGUUAAUCCGCUAUGUAAUCUAGUCGUUAAUGUAGCAUUACAAAUCGAGCAGGAUUACAUCGAAAAUAUUAACGGGAGAGGGGUCGUGUAUCUUGCAUUACUGAAACCCGUUAAUACUACAUACUAUGUAAAAUGACAAUUUUACCCUCCAACGACCCUAAAUCUAAUUAACAGCAUUAUUUUCAUCUCUCUCGCCUUCCCCCUCUCUUUCGCACGCCGCUUUCUCUCGCUCUCUCUUUCUCUCGACGUCUCUCUCUCUCUCUCUUUCUCUCUCUCGCACGAACACCUAUCAUUUUCUAUUACGUCGUCCUCCCAGGUAAUCAUCACGAUCUCCUUCCCUCCAUUCGUCAUUUCCGCAAAAAAUAAUAUUCAAAUGACCACAACAAGGGCAAUUUUGAAAAAAACUAUACUUUUAUGCCAGGAUUACUAAAUUUUAUAAACUGAACCAAACGUAUUAAUGCUAUAAACACUGUAAUCUAGUAUUACAUUACUGCAUUAAACCAAACGCGCUAAUGUAACAUCAGUAGUUAUCUCACGCCGAAAUCCAAGAUACCUGGAUAUGUCGAAAUACUUUGUAAUAUUAUAUAACUCGAACCAAACGGGCCCUAAAGACAAAAUCUUCUCCUUUUCUUCCUGAAAAUGAGGUUUUUUUUAUUUUUUUAUUUUUAUCGCUCUUCAUUGUUAAUUUAUU
rnacentral:lncRNA from 1 species